UUCGGUCCGCUGACGAGUGGCGAACGGGUGAGUAACACGUGGAGACCUGCCCAGGGGUGCGGAACAACAGUUAGAAAUGACUGCUAAUACCGCAUACGUCCUAAGGGAGAAAGAUUUAUUGCCCUUGGAGGGGUCCGCGUCGGAUUAGCUAGUUGGUGGGGUAACGGCCUACCAAGGCGACGAUCCGUAGCUGUUCUUAGAGGAAGAUCAGCCACAUUGGGACUGAGACACGGCCCAGACUCCUACGGGAGGCAGCAGUGGGGAAUAUUGCGCAAUGGGGGCAACCCUGACGCAGCGAUGCCGCGUGAGUGAAGAAGGCCUUCGGGUUGUAAAGCUCUUUCAGUAGGGAAGAUAGUGGACGGUACCUACAGGAAGAAACUCCGGCUAACUCCGUGCCAGCAGCCGCGGUUAAUACGGAGGGGGCGAGCGUUGUUCGGAAUUAUUGGGCGUAAAGAGCGCGUAGGCGGUUUGGCAAG
rnacentral:rRNA from 1 species